rnacentral:rRNA from 1 species
CCUACGGGUGGCAGCAGUCGAGAAUCAUUCACAAUGGGGGAAACCCUGAUGGUGCGACGCCGCGUGGGGGAAUGAAGGUCUUCGGAUUGUAAACCCCUGUCAUGUGGGAGCAAAUUAAAAAGAUAGUACCACAAGAGGAAGAGACGGCUAACUCUGUGCGAGCAGCCGCGGUAAUACAGAGGUCUCAAGCGUUGUUCGGAAUCACUGGGCGUAAAGCGUGCGUAGGCUGUUUCGUAAGUCGUGUGUGAAAGGCGCGGGCUCAACCCGCGGACGGCACAUGAUACUGCGAGACUAGAGUAAGGGAGGGGGAACCGGAAUUCGCGGUGUAGCAGUGAAAUGCGUAGAUAUCGAGAGGAACACUCGUGGCGAAGGCGGGUUCCUGGACAUUAACUGACGCUGAGGCACGAAGGCCAGGGGAGCGAAAGGGAUUAGAUACCCCUGUAGUC